rnacentral:lncRNA from 1 species
AUUACAAGAAGUGGUUUCGUCAUGCAGGUAAAGACCCCAACUUGACCUUACACUUCCCAUUCCAACUAAUAAUGUCAGGAGUCACUCAGCAUUCUGAGUCAGGGAGGCAGACCUGUCUUAGCAUAUGAGUCAUCUUCUAAGACAGUGACUGUGUUUUUUUUUUAAAUUCCUUCUGUUUUAACUUGGGCCCAGAUGAUUUGAAGGUACCUGUACUGCAAUCUGAAACUGGUUAAGAGAACGAAUGUAUUCCAUCAGCACGGCUAUCACAAAUUUAUGAGGCAUCUCCUAGGGAGAAAAAAAUGUGGUCUUACAAAUACCAACGAGGUGCAAAAGAGGCUGCAUAUAACUCUCUAUCCAACCCCCACCUUGUUUCCAUCUUAAAAUGGCCCAGUGUUCAUCUUUCACUGGUUUUGCACACAUCGCUCCAGAACCACCCGUCAACAAUUAUGCUUUAGGC